rnacentral:rRNA from 1 species
UACGAAGGGGGCUAGCGUUGCUCGGAAUCACUGGGCGUAAAGCGCACGUAGGCGGAUUGUUAAGUCAGGGGUGAAAUCCUGGAGCUCAACUCCAGAACUGCCUUUGAUACUGGCGAUCUUGAGUCCGGGAGAGGUGAGUGGAACUGCGAGUGUAGAGGUGAAAUUCGUAGAUAUUCGCAAGAACACCAGUGGCGAAGGCGGCUCACUGGCCCGGUACUGACGCUGAGGUGCGAAAGCGUGGGGAGCGAACGAG